CAUAACACCCAGAGAAAGUCACAGGCGUCUUAAAAAUCCUCCUUUCCCAUAAUAAACUCAAAUAUGUGGCUUAUGAUGCUUCUUCCUUCCUCUCACACUCAGAGAUAGUCAAACACGCGUCUUACAAAAUAAUUCAUUUUUAUUUGAUAGAAACACUUUCAUUUAUAAACAGCCAAGACCAUCGAUCAUACAAAUCUGGGAGUCAGUGCGAGGAGGGCGGGGUCCUGCGCGGCCUCAUGGUGGGCCGGCGGGACGCGCCUCCUCGCGCCCAACACAUAUUAUCCAAGCAGAGGAAAGAGGCAAUGAUUUAUUCAUAUUGAUAUAUAUUUAUAGUAAUGGAUUAUUUGAUGUGUGGAUACCGGGAAAUAAGAAGCUAAUAAAAGGAGCAGGAGGAGAAGCAGGAGGGGAAGUGAUGUGUUGUAGAGUGUUCUUUUGUGUUGUGGUUAGUUUGUGUUGAUGUGUUGUGUUGUGGGAGUGUUGUGUGUGUGUGUGUGUGUGUGUGUGUGUGUGUGUGUGUGUGUGUGUGUGUGUGGCGCGAUUGAGGCAAAGCAUAAAGAAAGCACGGAGAGGUGAGCCAAAAUAACUAA